UUUGUUUCAAUUAUAGCCAAAAUUGACCCUCCAAUUGACCCAAUCUUAACCCCAAUUGGACCGGUCCAAUUUCAAUUUAACCCAACCCCUUAACCCAUUUCCCUGAUCCACCAAAUCCUUUUUUUAAUCCAGGCUGUUGAUCAUUUUGAUCAAUGUUCACAAUUGCUCCUUACCUUUUUAAUUCCCCUACCUGAACCUAAUCCCCUAUUUCAUUUGGUCAGCCAUCUUUAAAUACUCUCCCCUCUCAAACUCUCUCGAAGGUUCAACAAAUCCCUAGCCUUUCUCAUCCUCUCUGACCACAACCUCACCGGAAUAUAUGGCUUCUUAGGCCAUGGAUGGCCUAUACUCACCUCCCUUCACUCUUAAACUCUUGGUGCUCGAAGUCUCGAGGUCUGACCUCGAUAGUGUCUUUUUAGAUCUUCUUAGACCCAGGGUUUUAAGGCCUCUCCGGUACAUUCAGAGCAUUACGAGCCUAUUUCUAACUCAUCCGACUCAGGAUCAGACUUUUCCAAGCCUUUCUCAUCUAGGGUUUCUCUGAAACCCCAAAUACUCGAGGUUCUCUCUGAUUAUUUUAAGAUAUGGCAUAUGUCUAUGCUCUACUUGAGUUCUUAAUCGUUUUUCCCAAUUUUCUUUCAAAAUUAUUUCUCUUCGAUUUAGGAUUUCUGAAAAGCUUAAAAUAUUUUUCUGAUUCUUCUUUUUCUUUUUAUGUGUAUUUGCCUGUACUACGUUCGUACGUUUCCUUUUCUAUCACGCAUGUGUUUUGCUUCUACUUUCUUUCUAUUAUACAUGAUUCUUCUGUGCUUUGUGUUCUACUGUGCCUCUACGCCGUGCUCACAUGUUCAUCUUGUUAUGUUUUCCUAUGUUUUCUUUUGCUAUACGUUUCCAGUAUUUUGUUCUUCUACUAUAUGUAUUUCCUACUAAGUUCUUAAGUUUUUGUUUGCUUCUACUGAACUUUGUUUGAGUUCUCUCUACACAUGUUCCCCUUACCGUUUUCUUAAGUUUAUACUGCCUUUCUCUUUUUAGAACUUGUUUAAGUUCCAAGCUUUUCUCAAAAUGUGCUCUCGAUGUUUCAAAUCGGUUCUCCAUUCUAUUUGUCUUAAACCUGUUAUUUUAUUUGUUUGUUUUCACAUAACUCUCUGAAAGAGACCUCUGAGCUUGUUUCAAUUACCUGCCUCUUCGUCUCUGCAUUAUACUCGUGUUAGAAACCCUAGGGUUUGGGGUUUCUGACGAGUUUGAUCUUGUGUGUGGACUAGGGUUCUGUUAUGCAACCCCAGAUUCUCUCAAACUAACUCUGAGUCUAUGUAUUGAACUUGAACCUCUUUGUUUAUGACUGAAUUUUUCUCUGCUAGCCUUUUCUAAUUAGCACGAUAGUUCUUUCUUGAUUCACAUGCCUGUACACUUUAUAUAUGAUGAAUUCUCCCUUAAAAAACGUUUUUUGCCAACUUGUGAUUGAUUCAGAAUUCCUUUUAAUAAGGAUCGAUUAAUUGUUACUGAAUUCCUUUAAAGAAACCUUUUCUUCACCUUUUUUGGUUUGAUCCAUUCAUACCAAAACUCAAUUAUGAUUUUAUUGACUGUUGAUUGAUUGCUUUUCCUUAUUUGCCCAAACCGUGUUGCUAUCAAACUCUUUCCUUAAAUAAGUUUCUGUGUAUUUUCCCUUAUUGUACUACUUUGGAAAAUAUUUUGAUCAAACUCUUUCCUUAAUUAUUUUACCCAUUUUGAAAUCAGAAUCCAUUAAUUGAAG
rnacentral:lncRNA from 1 species